GGACCCGCACAAGUAGUGGAGCAUGUGGUUUAAUUCGAAGAUACGCGCAGAACCUUACCAACACUUGACAUGUUCGUCGCGACUUUAAGAGAUUAAAGUUUUCGGUUCGGCCGGACGAAACACAGGUGCUGCAUGGCUGUCGUCAGCUCGUGUCGUGAGAUGUUGGUUAAGUCCCGCAACGAGCGCAACCCUCACUUUUAGUUGCCAUCAUUAAGUUGGGCACUCUGAAAGAACUGCCAGUGAUAAGCUGGAGGAAGGUGGGGAUGACGUCAAGUCCUCAUGGCCCUUACGUGUUGGGCUACACACGUGCUACAAUGGUAUCUACAACAGGAAGCAGCCACUAUGCGAAUAGGAGCU
rnacentral:rRNA from 1 species